rnacentral:lncRNA from 1 species
UCUAUCGGUGCCUUCGAAACCCCAUCAAGGUGACUCCAUAAUCCUUUUCCUUUAACAUACAUUUUGAAUUGAAAUUCCCAAGCAGCGUAAUUCUUGCCAGUAAAACGGACACAAAAGUUGUCUCUUUCUUUUUCAGAAGUCAUGCUAUUGUACUAAAAAAAUAAUGAUGACAGCAGUACAAAAACAGAGCAGGAGCAGAGAAACAGGGCAGCAAUACAGAAGCAGAGAAACAGGGCAGGAGCAGCAACAGAGAAACAGGGCAGGAGCAGAGAAACAGGGCAGGAGCAGCAACGCAAACAAGCAGCAGAGAAACAGUGCAGGAGCAGCAACACAAAAACAGAGCAGGAGCAGCAACGCAGAAACAGAGCAUCAACAGAGAGACAUGCUCACAACGAGAGGCAGACGAAAUCACGAUGACAAUCGACCAAGCAGCAGCAACGAGUAACACGCUCAAGCAAGGACAACCCAAAAACGAAUCAAGAAUCACG